ACUUAGGUUGUUAGAUAAAGUGCCUUUAGUUACGGCUAAAGGAGAAUAGGGAAACGGGUGCAAAUCCCGUACGGUGACGCCGCUGUAACGAGUGACAAAGGUCUCUUCUUAUCACCACUGCUUUUUUAUCACGCAAGAGUCAAAAUUUGCGUUUUUUAGCGGGAAGGUUAGGACCUAAGGAUGAUCUCGGAGUCAGAAGACCUGCUUUAUCUUACUCAUCCUCA
rnacentral:ncRNA from 25 species